rnacentral:rRNA from 1 species
AGAGUUUGAUCAUGGCUCAGAACGAACGCUGGCGGCAGGCUUAACACAUGCAAGUCGAACGCCCCGCAAGGGGAGUGGCAGACGGGUGAGUAACACGUGGGAACGUGCCCUAAGGUUUGGAAUAUUCCCGGGAAACUGGGAGCAAUACCAAAUGUGUCCGCAAGGAGAAAGAUUUAUCGCCUUAGGAUCGGCCCGCGUCGGAUUAGCUUGUUGGUGGGGUAAUGGCCUACCAAGGCGACGAUCCGUAGCUGGUCUGAGAGGACGACCAGCCACACUGGGACUGAGACACGGCCCAGACUCCUACGGGAGGCAGCAGUGGGGAAUCUUGGACAAUGGGCGCAAGCCUGAUCCAGCCAUGCCGCGUGGAUGAUGAAGGCCUUAGGGUUGUAAAAUCCUUUCGCCGAGGACGAUAAUGACGGUACUCGAGA